UGAUAACUCUUAAAGAGAAUUUGUGUUUCGGCCACAAUUGAGAAGUAGUGAGCUUCUAUCAA
rnacentral:tRNA from 1 species